UCCAUCGCCGCUGAUCCUUCACACGGCGACCAAAAGGAGGGCAUCUCGUCUGAUCGACCUCGCCCCUCCAUCUGGCAGCUGACUAUGAAAGCUGAACUUUUCUCGACGAAGCGGCAAUCGAUUUUGGCACCAGCUGCACGUCAAAGGUUCCGCUCGUCCGCUAGAACAUCUCACCAACAGCUUACCUGCGCAACCAGGAGGUUGGCAUCCGAUUGCCAAAAGGAGGAUGUGCUAAUGGAGCUUUCUGCACUCAGUCCAUUUUACUGACGAAUGAACCUCCUGCACUGGCUGAACUAGCUUUGUAUUUGCCCAAUUUAACACUUCCACGGAGAACUCACAACACACUGAAGAGCGUUUCUUUCUUCUCCCGGUGACGGUGUUCCGAGCCGUGAGGUAACUUCUGUCUCUGGAGAUUUACUUGAUCAAUUCUCUCGUUCUCUUUGAGGCCAAAACACAAAGACAAAGACACCUCAAACAACACUCACCGACACCCACACACGCCCUCCUACGGCUGCUCUGUCGGGUUUAAAGUGCAGCCAUUAGAGGCUUUUCAGUCCAGUGUAGACAUAAGAAACAGAUGUUCCCUGGACAACCAGAAGUAAUAAACCUGGGAGAUGCACAAUGUUUCUAUGAGUUAUAUUAAUGAUUCAGU
ensembl:lncRNA